rnacentral:rRNA from 1 species
UACGAAGGGUGCAAGCGUUACUCGGAAUUACUGGGCGUAAAGCGUGCGUAGGUGGUGCGUUAAGUCUGUCGUGAAAGCCCCGGGCUCAACCUGGGAAUGGCGAUGGAUACUGGCGCGCUAGAGUGCGGUAGAGGAGAGCGGAAUUCCCGGUGUAGCAGUGAAAUGCGUAGAGAUCGGGAGGAACAUCAGUUGCGAAGGCGGCUCUCUGGACCAGCACUGACACUGAGGCACGAAAGCGUGGGGAGCAAACAGG